rnacentral:rRNA from 1 species
GAUGAACGCUGGCGGCGUGCCUAAUACAUGCGAGUCGAACGAAACUUCUUUAUCACCGAGUGCUUGCACUCACCGAUAAAGAGUUGAGUGGCGAACGGGUGAGUAACACGUGGGCAACCUGCCCAAAAGAGGGGGAUAACACUUGGAAACAGGUGCUAAUACCGCAUAACCAUAGUUACCGCAUGGUAACUAUGUAAAAGGUGGCUAUACUACCGCUUUUGGAUGGGCCCGCGGCGCAUUAGCUAGUUGGUAGGGUAAAGGCUUACCAAGGCAAUGAUGCGUAGCCGAAUUGAGAGGUUGAUCGGCCACAUUGGGACUGAGACACGGCCCAAACUCCUACGGGAGGCAGCAGGAGGGAAUCUUCCACAAUGGGCGAAAGCCUGAUGGAGCAACGCCGCGGGGGUGAAGAAGGUCUUCGGAUCGUAAAACCCUGUUGUUAGAGAAGAAAGUGCGUGAGAGUAACUGUUCACGUUUCGACGGUAUCUAACCAGAAAGCCACGGCUAACUACGU